rnacentral:lncRNA from 1 species
GUGAGUGGAGACUGUGCCACUGCACUCCAGCCUGGGCACACAGAGCAAGACUCCAUCUCAAACAAACAAACAAAAAAGAAAUAUGUAAGUAUGUGUACAGCUGUUCCUUCAAUCCUCCACUCUUCAAUAUUGCUAGGAGGCCCCUGAGGGAUUUUAUCACAACAUAGUUUAUUAGGUAUAAAUGGCAGAGCCUAAAGCAAUCAGAAGAGGGCUGCCUGGUGGGCACAUGUUACCGGUGUGAGCCUUGGCCAGUGGAGAAGCAGGUGCCUGACCCACUCAGGCCAGGAGGAGGCACCAAGUCAGGAGAGCGUUAGCAGGCCUCAGGCCUUGUUGAUUCCGGGGCUCUGGGCUGUGGGCUGCUUGGCCUGCCCUUUCGACACCAGUUCUCAAGCCUCUUGACCACUGUACUAGAGCCUCCCUGGCACUGAUACCAGGGUCUCAGCAGGCCAUUCAAGCGAGCCUGGCCAGCUGGCUACUGCGGCUCUUCCCUGCAUGCAGUGACUGCUGGAACCCUGACUCCCAGACUGCAGAGAAUAGAGGGACUUCACGUGACAGCCCCUCUGUGUGUAGGUCUCAGGCCAAGCCCUUCCAUGGAGUGAGCUGUUUCCUCCCACAUUCAGAGCCUCAGGUUGGGGACAGAGGCAUGAGCAGGUGCUGUCCGAGGUGGGCCAAGGACAUGAGCCCAUGUGGAUGUCAGAGCAGGCCCAGGCUCCCUGGGCUGCUGGGGGGUGUGUGUCACCAUGUGACUUAGAUCAUGGCCAGCAGGGAUCAGCAGUGUUCUCAGAGCCAUCAGGCCUCCCCCAGCUUCCCAGACAUUUUUCGCAGCUGCAGGAACAGCCACAGAUGCUAGGACCUGUUCUCAUUGCAUCCAGGACUGGCCACCCCAGAAAAGAAGCCAGUGAAGUCCCAGUGGGGCCCUUGGGGGCAAGUGGUGCUCCUAACUGGGCUUUUUGCCAAAGCCUAGAAAGCUAAGACACCAACCAUGUUUCACUCCAUUUUUCCUUUUUUUUUUUUUUUGAGACAGA